rnacentral:rRNA from 1 species
UGCCAGACUCCUACGGGAGGCAGCAGUGGGGAAUAUUGCGCAAUGGGGGCAACCCUGACGCAGCAACGCCGCGUGAUUGAAGAAGGCCUUCGGGUUGUAAAGAUCUUUAAUCAGGGACGAAAAAUGACGGUACCUGAAGAAUAAGCUCCGGCUAACUACGUGCCAGCAGCCGCGGUAAUACGUAGGGAGCAAGCGUUAUCCGGAUUUACUGGGUUUAAAGGGUGCGCAGGCGGAAUGUCAAGUCAGCGGUAAAAUUUCGGGGCUCAACCCCGUCGUGCCGUUGAAACUGGCGUUCUUGAGUGAGCGAGAAGUAUGCGGAAUGCGUGGUGUAGCGGUGAAAUGCAUAGAUAUCACGCAGAACUCCGAUUGCGAAGGCAGCAUACCGGCGCUCAACUGACGCUGAAGCACGAAGGCGUGGGUAUCGAACAGGAUUAGAUACCCCAGUAGU